rfam:Mycobacterium sp. JDM601, complete genome.
CAAGCACCUCGUUAGGUGAGGCGUCUGCACGGAUAUAGGCCACUGACCCCGAACGUCGAAAGACGCCCCGGGUCAGGACAGCUCCUCCCGGAUUAAGGGUUGAGCCCAAGUGGCUUCCGGACCUGCGUUGCAUGCGCAGGCAGGACACGCCGUGCAGUGCCGAAGCUCUGACGAGAGGGGUGCGAA